rnacentral:misc_RNA from 1 species
UAGACGGUCAGCUUCGGUCGGUGGAAACGCGAGAAGAACAGAGGAUGCAUCAGAUGAUCCCGAGUUUUCUACCUUGAGAGUGAGGAAAACCCUGACGAUCGAGGAGGUUAAAUCGAUCCUUUUCUCGGCGGAGAGGAUGCGGAUCUCGGAGGAGGCGGAUGAGAGAACGGUGAGAGAGGCGGCGAGGAGGAGGAGGAGGAGGAGG